UGCCCCCAGCAGUGGGCUGAGAGAUGCCCUGUGGGUGGUGUUCUUAUCUCAGUCAGGGGCAGAGAAGAUGGCGGCCUUUGUUCAUCCUAGCUCAGUGUCUGGCUUGGUGGCCAAAGCUGCCUUAUGCCUAGGACUCAUAA